UCGAUUGAACGAGAAAAGGUACUCAUUGCAAAGUUAUACUGUUAGGGCAUAACUGAGUAGUCUAAUGUUGUUCCGGUUUUGGUUCUUGUCAAGGUUGACAUCAAUUCGUUCCAAAUUUACACUCUCAGGGCAUAAUAGAACAAUAUAAUUGGCUUUUACUCUUUGUUCGAUUGAAUGAGAAAAAGUCCUCGUUGCAAAGUUAUACUGUUAGGGCGCAACUGAGUAGUCUAAUGUUGUUCUAGUUUUCUAUCUUCUGACCAUAGACAUCACUUCGUUCCAAAUUUACAUUCUCAGUUCAUAAUAGAACAAUAUAAUUAGCUUUUACUCUUUUUUCGAUUGAUUGAGAAAAAGUACUCGUUGCAAAGUUAUACUGUUAGGGCGCAACUGAGUAAUCUAAUGUUGUUCCGAUUUUCGUUCUUUUCAACGUUGACAUCGAUUCGUUCUAAAUUAACAAUCUCGGGGCAUAAUAGAACACUAUAAUUAGCUUUUGCUCUUUGUUUGAUUGAAGGAGAAAAGGUACUCGUUGCAAAGUUAUACUGUUAGGGCGCAACUGAGUAGUCUAAUGUUGUUCCAGUUUUGGUUCUUGUCAACGUUGACAUCGAUUCGUUCUAAAUUAACAAUCUCGGGGCAUAAUAGAGCAAUAUAAUUAGCUUUUACUCUUUGUUCGAUUGAAUGAGAAAAGGUACUCGUUGCAAAGUUAUACUGUUAGGGCGCAACUGAGUAGUCUAAUGUUGUUCCGGUUUCGGUUCUUUUCAACGUUGACAUCGAUUCUUUCUAAAUUAACAAUCUCGGGGCAUAAUAGAACAAUAUAAUUAGCUUUUACUCUUUGUUCGAUUGAACGAGAAAUGGUACUCGUUGCAAUGUUAUACUGUUAGGGCGCAACUGAGUAGUCUAAUGUUGUUCCGAUUUUGGUUCUUGUUAACGUUGACAUCGAUUCGUUCUAAAUUAACAAUCUCGGGGCAUAAUAGAACAAUAUAAUUAGCUUUUACGCUUUGUUCGAUUGAAUGAGAAAAGGUACACGUUGCAAAGUUAUACUGGUAGGGCGCAACUGACUAGUCUAUUGUUGCUCCGGUUUUGGUUCUUAUAAAGGUUGACAUCAAUCCGUUCCAAAUUUACACUCUUAGGGCAUAAUAGAACAAUAUAAUUGGCUUUUACUCUUUGUUCGAUUGAAUGAGAAAAAGUACUCGUUGCAAAUUUAUACUGUUAGGGCGCAACUGAGUAGUCUAAUGUUGUUCCAGUUUUCUAUCUUCUGAACAUAGACAACGCUUUGUUCCAAAUUUACAUUCUUAGUGCAUAAUAGAACAAUAUAAUUAGCUUUUACACUUCGUUCGUUUGAUGGAGAAAAAGUACUCGUUGCAAAGUUAUACUNUCGACCCUCCCUACCUUCGAGAUGGCUAGUAAGUAGUAGGCAAGUUUUCGGAGAAGCCACGAGAAUAAGAAAUAAGUAAAUAAGAUCGAUGAAUAGGUACAUAGCUUUACCUUUUUGAUAUGACGACAGGUUAGUUGCUUACCAUUUCAUUGGAAAUGCAUUUAUAUAUCUAUGAUUGGGCAUAGUAGUGUAGCUUUACUUUCCUGUCCUUAUAGCUUAUUAUUUAUAUAUCGGUAUAUCUACUUGUGCCCACUUGGCCCUAGUGGGGAGACCGGCGGAGUCGGCGGCCGAACCUACUGGGAACUAAGGAAGUUAGUUCUCACCCCACUUUUUACAGGUCCGAGUUCGAGCUUCCCGGGCGAGCGUGAGGAUCGCGGUAAGGGCCCGGCGCCUUAGUUGCAUUAGCCACCUACCCUUUUGUGUUAGCUCUACCCUUAUUUACAUUUGAGAGUAGAUGAUGUAUAGGGUGAGGUUUGAGUGCUUGUAUUUAUGUUUUUGGAAGAAUGUAAAAGACGUACUUAAAUGUAUUGAGCCAAAUGAAUGUAAUAGGUUAUAUCUUCUCUCUUAUGUACUUGUAUAUGUUUCCAUACUUGUAUCUUGCUCUUGGUUGUUGCACUGGUGGUGCUUCUUGAUCGUGUAUUUAUGAAUUGAUUCCUGGGUAAAUUCUUAUACAUGAUCUGUUGGUUAGCCUUGGGCGGACAGGGGAGGUUCUGUCCGUUCGGCGUCUGUUCGAUGCGCCCGGGGCCGGACCAAAUUGGUAGCGGUCUCGGGGCGUGACACUAAUGUUGUUCCGGUUUUGGUUCUUGUGAAGGUUGACAUCGAUUCGUUCCAAAUUUACACUCUCN
rnacentral:lncRNA from 1 species